AAAUGCGAUAAGUAGUGUGAAUUGCAGAAUUUAGCGAAUCAUCGAAUCUUUGAACGCACAUUGCGCCCCUUGGUAUUCCAUGGGGCAUGCCUGUUCGAGCGUCAUUUCAACCCUCAAGCACUGCUUGGUGUUGGGCGUUUGUCCCGCCUACGCGCGUGGACUCGCCUCAAAGUCAUUGGCGGCUGUUCCCCUGCGGCUCGUAAGCGCAGCACAGUCGGCGCCCGGAGCUCUGGUGGGAUGGCGUCCAGCAAGCUAUAUUUUCAGGCUUGACCUCGGAUCAGGUAGGGAUACCCGCUGAACUUAAGC
rnacentral:misc_RNA from 1 species